UGCAUCUUCAGGCACCUGUCAGUCAGCUAGAUUCUGUCAGACUAGCUGGGCUGUGGGGUCAUACAUCUUUUACCCUCCAGCAAGCUAGUCUGAGUCUGUUGCUGCAGUGCAGGAUGCUAGGGUGAAGGCUGAAGGUGAGGAGCUCUAAAAGCCCAAGCUCAGAGAGGCUCUGAUCUGCUCCCAGACACAGAGAAAGCAAGUCAAAAACAAAACAACAACAAAAACCAGCAUUGGAUUCACAGUUAAGGAAACGGCCACCACUCUCCAAGGGAAGAUCUUUGAACCUGUGUUGCCAAGAGGCACGCGCCCAGGAAGGGAAUGACUCAGUGGCCAUUGGACUAUCCGAAACAAGGCACCUCAGCUGGAUGAUGUUAGAGAUGAUAUCUCUUGACUUUUAUCUCUACAACUUGCUUCAUGAUCACAAGAUACCAUGGCACCCAAGCUCAAGGCAGGAAAGAGAAAG
rnacentral:lncRNA from 1 species